GGUUAAGCGACUAAGCGUACACGGUGGAUGCCCUGGCAGUCAGAGGCGAUGAAGGGCGUGCUAAUCUGCGAUAAGCGCCGGUAAGGUGAUAUGAACCGUUAUAACCGGCGAUACCCGAAUGGGGAAACCCAGUGUGAUUCGUCACACUAUCAUUAACUGAAUCCAUAGGUUAAUGAGGCGAACCGGGGGAACUGAAACAUCUAAGUACCCCGAGGAAAAGAAAUCAACCGAGAUUCCCCCAGUAGCGGCGAGCGAACGGGGAGGAGCCCAGAGCCUGAAUCAGCAUGUGUGUUAGUGGAAGCGUCUGGAAAGGCGCGCGAUACAGGGUGACAGCCCCGUACACAAAAGCGCAUGUGCUGUGAGCUCGAUGAGUAGGGCGGGACACGUGGUAUCCUGUCUGAAUAUGGGGGGACCAUCCUCCAAGGCUAAAUACUCCUGACUGACCGAUAGUGAACCAGUACCGUGAGGGAAAGGCGAAAAGAACCCCGGCGAGGGGAGUGAAAAAGAACCUGAAACCGUGUACGUACAAGCAGUGGGAGCACAGGUUUACCUGUGUGACUGCGUACCUUUUGUAUAAUGGGUCAGCGACUUAUAUUCUGUAGCAAGGUUAACCGAAUAGGGGAGCCGGAGGGAAACCGAGUCUUAACCGGGCGUUAAGUUGCAGGGUAUAGACCCGAAACCCGGUGAUCUAGCCAUGGGCAGGUUGAAGGUUGGGUAACACUAACUGGAGGACCGAACCGACUAAUGUUGAAAAAUUAGCGGAUGACCUGUGGCUGGGGGUGAAAGGCCAAUCAAACCGGGAGAUAGCUGGUUCUCCCCGAAAGCUAUUUAGGUAGCGCCUCGUGAAUUCAUCUCCGGGGGUAGAGCACUGUUUCGGCUAGGGGGCCAUCCCGGCUUACCAACCCGAUGCAAACUGCGAAUACCGGAGAAUGUUAUCACGGGAGACACACGGCGGGUGCUAACGUCCGUCGUGAAGAGGGAAACAACCCAGACCGCCAGCUAAGGUCCCAAAGUCAUGGUUAAGUGGGAAACGAUGUGGGAAGGCCCAGACAGCCAGGAUGUUGGCUUAGAAGCAGCCAUCAUUUAAAGAAAGCGUAAUAGCUCACUGGUCGAGUCGGCCUGCGCGGAAGAUGUAACGGGGCUAAACCAUGCACCGAAGCUGCGGCAGCGACACUGUGUGUUGUUGGGUAGGGGAGCGUUCUGUAAGCCUGUGAAGGUGUGUCGUGAGGCAUGCUGGAGGUAUCAGAAGUGCGAAUGCUGACAUAAGUAACGAUAAAGCGGGUGAAAAGCCCGCUCGCCGGAAGACCAAGGGUUCCUGUCCAACGUUAAUCGGGGCAGGGUGAGUCGACCCCUAAGGCGAGGCCGAAAGGCGUAGUCGAUGGGAAACGGGUUAAUAUUCCCGUACUUGGUGUUACUGCGAAGGGGGGACGGAGAAGGCUAUGUUGGCCGGGCGACGGUUGUCCCGGUUUAAGCGUGUAGGUGUGUGUUCCAGGUAAAUCCGGUUCACUUUAACACUGAGGCGUGACGACGAGGCACUACGGUGCUGAAGCAACAAAUGCCCUGCUUCCAGGAAAAGCCUCUAAGCAUCAGGUAACAUCAAAUCGUACCCCAAACCGACACAGGUGGUCAGGUAGAGAAUACCAAGGCGCUUGAGAGAACUCGGGUGAAGGAACUAGGCAAAAUGGUGCCGUAACUUCGGGAGAAGGCACGCUGACACGUAGGUGAAGUGAUUUACUCAUGGAGCUGAAGUCAGUCGAAGAUACCAGCUGGCUGCAACUGUUUAUUAAAAACACAGCACUGUGCAAACACGAAAGUGGACGUAUACGGUGUGACGCCUGCCCGGUGCCGGAAGGUUAAUUGAUGGGGUCAGCGCAAGCGAAGCUCCUGAUCGAAGCCCCGGUAAACGGCGGCCGUAACUAUAACGGUCCUAAGGUAGCGAAAUUCCUUGUCGGGUAAGUUCCGACCUGCACGAAUGGCGUAAUGAUGGCCAGGCUGUCUCCACCCGAGACUCAGUGAAAUUGAACUCGCUGUGAAGAUGCAGUGUACCCGCGGCAAGACGGAAAGACCCCGUGAACCUUUACUAUAGCUUGACACUGAACAUUGAGCCUUGAUGUGUAGGAUAGGUGGGAGGCUUUGAAGUGUGGACGCCAGUCUGCAUGGAGCCGACCUUGAAAUACCACCCUUUAAUGUUUGAUGUUCUAACGUGGACCCGUUACCCGGGUUGCGGACAGUGUCUGGUGGGUAGUUUGACUGGGGCGGUCUCCUCCUAAAGAGUAACGGAGGAGCACGAAGGUUGGCUAAUCCUGGUCGGACAUCAGGAGGUUAGUGCAAUGGCAUAAGCCAGCUUGACUGCGAGCGUGACGGCGCGAGCAGGUGCGAAAGCAGGUCAUAGUGAUCCGGUGGUUCUGAAUGGAAGGGCCAUCGCUCAACGGAUAAAAGGUACUCCGGGGAUAACAGGCUGAUACCGCCCAAGAGUUCAUAUCGACGGCGGUGUUUGGCACCUCGAUGUCGGCUCAUCACAUCCUGGGGCUGAAGUAGGUCCCAAGGGUAUGGCUGUUCGCCAUUUAAAGUGGUACGCGAGCUGGGUUUAGAACGUCGUGAGACAGUUCGGUCCCUAUCUGCCGUGGGCGCUGGAGAACUGAGGGGGGCUGCUCCUAGUACGAGAGGACCGGAGUGGACGCAUCACUGGUGUUCGGGUUGUCAUGCCAAUGGCACUGCCCGGUAGCUAAAUGCGGAAGAGAUAAGUGCUGAAAGCAUCUAAGCACGAAACUUGCCCCGAGAUGAGUUCUCCCUGAGACUUAGAGUCUCCUGAAGGAACGUUGAAGACGACGACGUUGAUAGGCCGGGUGUGUAAGCGCAGCGAUGCGUUGAGCUAACCGGUACUAAUGAACCGUGAGGCUUAACCUU
rnacentral:rRNA from 2 species